ACGAACGCUGGCGGCGUGCUUAAUACAUGCAAGUUGAGCGCUGAAGGUUGGUACUUGUACCAACUGGAUGAGCAGCGAACGGGUGAGUAACGCGUGGGGAAUCUGCCUUUGAGCGGGGGACAACAUUUGGAAACGAAUGCUAAUACCGCAUAAAAACUUUAAACACAAGUUUUAAGUUUGAAAGAUGCAAUUGCAUCACUCAAAGAUGAUCCCGCGUUGUAUUAGCUAGUUGGUGAGGUAAAGGCUCACCAAGGCGAUGAUACAUAGCCGACCUGAGAGGGUGAUCGGCCACAUUGGGACUGAGACACGGCCCAAACUCCUACGGGAGGCAGCAGUAGGGAAUCUUCGGCAAUGGACGAAAGUCUGACCGAGCAACGCCGCGUGAGUGAAGAAGGUUGUCGGAUCGUAAAACUCUGUUGGUAGAGAAGAACGUUGGUGAGAGUGGAAAGCUCAUCAAGUAACGGUAACUACCCAGAAAGGGACGGCUAACUACGUG
rnacentral:rRNA from 1 species